rnacentral:misc_RNA from 1 species
UGCCAAGUGCUGGGGUAAAGGG